AUACGUAGGUGGCAAGCGUUGUCCGGAUUUAUUGGGCGUAAAGCGAGCGCAGGCGGUUUCUUAAGUCUGAUGUGAAAGCCUUUGGCUCAACCGAAGAAGUGCAUCGGAAACUGGGAAACUUGAGUGCAGAAGAGGACAGUGGAACUCCAUGUGUAGCGGUGAAAUGCGUAGAUAUAUGGAAGAACACCAGUGGCGAAGGCGGCUGUCUGGUCUGUAACUGACGCUGAGGCUCGAAAGCAUGGGUAGCAAACAGGAUUAGAUACCCUGGUAGUCCAUGCCGUAAACGAUGAGUGCUAGGUGUUGGAGGGUUUCCGCCCUUCAGUGCCGCAGCUAACGCAUUAAGCACUCCGCCUGGGGAGUACGACCGCAAGGUUGAA
rnacentral:rRNA from 1 species